GCCGAAGUGGCGGAAUUGGUAGACGCGCUCGACUCAAAAUCGAGUGGAUAAAACCGUGCGGGUUCGAGUCCCGCCUUCGGCACCA
rnacentral:tRNA from 1 species